AACGAACGCUAGCGGCAGGCUUAACACAUGCAAGUCGAGCGCCCCGCAAGGGGAGCGGCCGACGGGUGAGUAACGCGUGGGAACGUACCUUUUGGUUCGGAACAACUCCGGGAAACUGGAGCUAAUACCGGAUAAGCCCUAACGGGGAAAGAUUUAUCGCCGAAAGAUCGGCCCGCGUCUGAUUAGCUAGUUGGUGAGGUAACGGCUCACCAAGGCGACGAUCAGUAGCUGGUCUGAGAGGAUGAUCAGCCACACUGGGACUGAGACACGGCCCAGACUCCUACGGGAGGCAGCAGUGGGGAAUAUUGGACAAUGGGCGCAAGCCUGAUCCAGCCAUGCCGCGUGAGUGAUGAAGGCCUUAGGGUUGUAAAGCUCUUUUGUCCGGGAAGAUAAUGACUGUACCGGAAGAAUAAGCCCCGGCUAACUUCGUG
rnacentral:rRNA from 1 species